GACGAACGCUGGCGGCGUGCUUAACACAUGCAAGUCGAACGGAAAGGCCCUGCUUUUGUGGGGUGCUCGAGUGGCGAACGGGUGAGUAACACGUGAGUAACCUGCCCUUGACUUUGGGAUAACUUCAGGAAACUGGGGCUAAUACCGGAUAGGAGCUCCUGCUGCAUGGUGGGGGUUGGAAAGUUUCGGCGGUUGGGGAUGGACUCGCGGCUUAUCAGCUUGUUGGUGGGGUAGUGGCUUACCAAGGCUUUGACGGGUAGCCGGCCUGAGAGGGUGACCGGCCACAUUGGGACUGAGAUACGGCCCAGACUCCUACGGGCGGCAGCAGUGGGGAAUAUUGCACAAUGGGCGGAAGCCUGAUGCAGCAACGCCGCGUGCGGGAUGACUGCCUUCGGGUUGUAAACCGCUUUCGCCUGUGACGAAGCGUGAGUGACGGUAAUGGGUAAAGAAGCACCGGCUAACUACGUG
rnacentral:rRNA from 1 species